GUUCUGCUUCAGCUCCGCUCCGCUCACAUACUCGGCACUGGAGGGAAUUUAUGAACGCCCUAACGUUACUGCGCAAGUGCUAGUGGGACAAAAGACUGAGCAAGCCAUUCAGGCCAUUUGCUCCUCUAGCGACCACACAGCACAGUGCCGACUUUCAAAAGGUUGAGGACAAGCGAGAGUGGGAACUAUCAGCAUGGUGUUUGUGGGCUGUUACACAAGAUGGAAAAGACUGCUUCUUGAUUUUUGUGGCCCAUGCACUGGGGAAUGCUUGUGUUCAGGGACACAAUGGGUUAGUGUUUGAGGUGCUGGCUCCUCGCUUCUCCUCCUGCAUGAUCUCAGACAUAGUGUGGCAGAGGGUGUGCUGGAAGCUGCUGGAGAACAUCCUGGAGUGCUGGCUGGAGAGUGCUCACUGGGCCUGUCAGAGGUCCAGGAUCAUGGGGAACCUGGUGUUCAAGAACAAAAAAGCCCAGUUUGACAUCACCCAUAAACUGCUUCUGCUCCAAUACAAGUAUGAGGUGAGACGGUGAACUGAUGGUGAACUGAUGGUGAACUGAUGGUGAACUGAUGGUGAACUGAUGGUGAA